rnacentral:rRNA from 2 species
UGGGGGAUAUUGCACAAUGGGCGAAAGCCUGAUGCAGCGACGCCGCGUGGGGGAUGAAGGCUUUCGGGUUGUAAACCUCUUUCGCUAUCGAACAAGGCCCGCUUAGGGUGGGUUGAGGGUAGGUGGAGAAGAAGCGCCGGCUAACUACGUGCCAGCAGCCGCGGUAAUACGUAGGGCGCGAGCGUUGUCCGGAUUUAUUGGGCGUAAAGGGCUUGUAGGCGGCUUGUUGCGCCUGCUGUGAAAACGCGGGGCUUAACUUCGCGCGUGCAGUGGGUACGGGCAGGCUUGAGUGUGGUAGGGGUGACUGGAAUUCCAGGUGUAGCGGUGGAAUGCGCAGAUAUCUGGAGGAACACCGAUGGCGAAGGCAGGUCACUGGGCCAUUACUGACGCUGAGGAGCGAAAGCAUGGGUAGCGAACAGG